AGCAUAUCAAUAAGCGGAGGAAAAGAAACCAACAGGGAUUACCUCAGUAACGGCGAGUGAAGCGGUAAGAGCUCAAAUUUGAAAGCUGGCUCCUUCGGGGUCCGCAUUGUAAUUUGCAGAGGAUGCUUCGGGAGCGGUCCCCAUCUAAGUGCCCUGGAACGGGACGUCAUAGAGGGUGAGAAUCCCGUAUGGGAUGGGGUGUCCGCGCCCGUGUGAAGCUCCUUCGACGAGUCGAGUUGUUUGGGAAUGCAGCUCUAAAUGGGUGGUAAAUUUCAUCUAAAGCUAAAUAUUGGCCGGAGACCGAUAGCGCACAAGUAGAGUGAUCGAAAGAUGAAAAGCACUUUGAAAAGAGAGUUAAAAAGCACGUGAAAUUGUUGAAAGGGAAGCGCUUGCGACCAGACUCGCUCGCGGGGUUCAGCCGGCAUUCGUGCCGGUGUACUUCCCCGCGAGCGGGCCAACGUCGGUUUGGGCGGUCAGUCAAAGGCCCCUGGAAGGUAACGCCCCCUCGGGGGCGUCUUAUAGCCAGGGGUGCAAUGUGGCCUGCCUGGACCGAGGAACGCGCUUCGGCUCGGACGUUGGCAUAAUGGUCGUAAGCGACCCGUCUUGAAACACGGACCAAGGAGUCUAACAUCUACGCGAGUGUUCGGGUGUCAAACCCGUGCGCGAAGUGAAAGCGAACGGAGGUGGGAACCCGCAAGGGUGCACCAUCGACCGAUCCUGAAGUCUUCGGAUGGAUUUGAGUAAGAGCGUAGCUGUUGGGACCCCGAAAGAUGGUGAACUAUGCCUGAAUAGGGCGAAGCCAGAGGAAACUCUGGUGGAGGCUCGUAGCGGUUCUGACGUGCAAAUCGAUCGUCGAAUUGGGUAUAGGGCG
rnacentral:rRNA from 1 species